UAGAAAGUUUGGACAAUUUUU
ensembl:piRNA 21ur-1895 ncRNA